rnacentral:lncRNA from 1 species
UAAUUAAAAGCGUGUUUUGACGUCAAAAUUAAUAAAAUUCAAAAUUAAAAGUUCAUAAUAUAAGGUUCAUCGCAAAUCCUAACACAAAAAACUCUAGCCUAGCAUGACGGCAGAAUUAAACAAAUAAAAGGAGAAUGACGUCACCAAAAAUUGACGAAACAUGAUCUACAUCCAAAUUCCUUCCGAAAGCAAUCUAAAAUUUUCCUUCAACAGCUUGCUGCCUCUCCGUCCAUGCGAACUGUUUAAGUCUUGGAUUCUUGUAUGUGUAUAAUAAUCUGCUCAGCCGCCCACUUUUGUGUCCAAUUCCAGCCUCCCAAUAUGUUUUUUGUGCGUGCAUCUAUAAUGCAAUUCAGCUGCUUCAGUUUUCUGUGAAUAAGGUUCCAAUUCAGCCCAAUGUCCCCCAAGCAGCCUCUUCAAAUCUGUCGAUUUUCUACCUGUCUAUAUAUUAUAUUCUCUUCUGCCCCCAACCUCGGCUUCUGUGGGAAUUAUAUAUGUCUAUAGGUCAACUUUUUCAACCCACCAAUAUACCCCCCAGCAGUUGGCCGACUUCUCUUUCUUUUCACCGCUUCAAUUUGUCGUUUUAUAUUUUCAAUUAAGCCCCCGGCCAGACUUCUCAAAAAAUGAGACCCAGUUUCUAUUCCAUUCCAAUUGGUCUUAUGCCUAAUUAAAUGUAAUUUAUUUUCCAAGGCUUCUCUUCAUGGAAUUAAGGUAUUUUAGUCCUCGAAUUGAUUUAAUAGUGCUACUCAUAUCCUUUUUUUGGUUCAACACAAGACCUUCAAUUUGCAAAGUGUGGGAUAUUGUCUACAAACUUUCAUUCAACGGCCAACUUGUCCUUCUUCUCUUUCCAAAUGCUUCAAACGAGUCCGUCACCAAAAACAAAAGAAAAUUAACCAAAGUUAAGUAAAAGUUAAUAAUUCGACAACAUAAAAGUUUAAUUAUACAGUACAAAUAAGUAAACAAAAUGCACUUAUCCACACCCCCAAGCCAAAACCUUUGUUCGUCCUCGAACAAAACAAAAUAAAACUUAGGUAUGACACAUUUCUAACCUAAAAAAUCACAAAUAAAAGUCUCAAUGUUGAACUACUUACCAUAUGCCUUAGGUUUGAAUUUAAGCAAUAUUUUAGAAAGAUCCAAACAACAUCAAAAAUAAAAAUUUUUGCUUACCCAAUACUCAAUUUAGUGUGCGUGAGAUUAGUCAAUAUUGAACUAACACUUAUAUUAAAAUACAACCAAUCAAGCGUUGUUGAUUUAUUCAUAGUUCCAACCCUCUUGUG